UUGAACAAAGCAAAUUGUUUGCCUCUCUGUGAAACAACAGGGGAUGUUUCAGGGCAUUUAGGUUUGAGAUUCGACAGUGUAGUAUUUGAGGUAGAGAAGUGCUUAAGAACGGGACUCUGUUGACUUUUGUAGUCUCACCUGUGGAAGACCGCAAGUGAUGGCAGAAAGUUAAUAGCAUUAUUUUGUAGAAGGCAGAAUAUGAUAAUCCAUGUCUAUCACAUAUUGAGAACAAAGAAGACCAAUCUAAGAUGGAGGAUGAAGAAUUUCAAGCAAUUCCCUCCACUUUGCUGGCAUUACAUUCAUCUCUGCUGCUGGUGAUUACGAAUGCCCCACAGGACAUGGGACUAAGUGAAGGGAAUAAAGGACAUUGGUUCACCUUUGAU